rnacentral:rRNA from 1 species
AGCAACCUGCCUUUCAGUGGGGGGAAACAGUUGGAAACGACUGCUAAUACCGCAUAAUGCAUUUUGACCGCAUGGUCGAGAUGCCAAAGAUUUAUUGCUGAAAGAUGGGCUCGCGUCUGAUUAGAUAGUUGGUGAGGUAACGGCCCACCAAGUCGACGAUCAGUAGCCGGACUGAGAGGUUGAACGGCCACAUUGGGACUGAGAUACGGCCCAG